CCCUGCUCCCUUCUGGUCUGCCUGGCAAAGCGUUCCGAGCCGCUCUUUGCCGAGGGAGCUCAGAUUAGUGGGUUUUGCUGAUGGAGUUUUGAUUGGCUGGGUUGUUUGAAGAAGGAGAUUCCUCAGAGGCCUUGUCUGCAUUAAGCAAUUAAAUUAUUGUUUUUAUCCGGCAGUAUAGCUCCCGUAUAAGUACCAGCCGUUCUGGUUUUACAGGUGAAGGUCAGUUAUACUUCUGCCCUACAUCUGUAACUGUGCCGUGUGAGAGCUUUGCAGCCCCAAGGACGCCAGAGAUCCAAUUUCUCAGGUCCCGAACUCUGGGAGAUGUUCAAAGGCUUCCUGAGAGCCCUGAGAGGACUGGGGAGGACGAGGGAGGGCACUUCUAGUAAUACCAGACUCCUAAAGAUAUCUUUUACUCCUUUUAAAAGGAAAGUGUAGGGAGUACAAAAACCAUGAUUCUUUAUAUCAAAUUAUCCCAGAUGUUUUUUCCCAUAUCCAGAUAGAUCGUGCCACCAAAUAACGUAGGUUGUUCUGGCGGUGCCUACAAAGAUCAAGAACCGGCGUGGAUCUGCAAUUCAAUAGUCCACAACGCAGGCAGAUAGCUGCGUGCUCCGCUGGUGGAUGGCAUUUGGAGAGCAAUCUCUUGAUUUGGAUGCCUGGCUGCGUCUGGAUAUUGGUAAAACUGGAUUGUUCAAGACACAGGGUGAGAAACGGGCUGCAUUACAUCACGAUCAGGAAGGACACUUCUAGCUAGUCAGCAUUUCUAAACUGUAGCUAGACUCCAGUCUGGAUACAAGCAAGUCCUUCGAACUGAGCAGAGCUGGAGCAGGCUAACAACGUUUGGAUGUCAUUUCCCAGAAAUCCCACAUCACUAUAAAGUAUUUCAGUAGUGGCAGGAGCACUGGAAAUGAUCAAAUAGCAGCAGCAACCACUCUGCUGAUAAACUGUGCCCUGAGCUGGACAGUGCUGAAACAAUAUUAAAAGAAACAAGGCCCACUUGUCCUGCAGAACAAGUCACUGCCAUCGACAGUCUAACUGCAGCAGCUUUAGUACAACAUAAAGGUUUAAGAAAAAAUGUAACAUAGACACAAAAUUAGCUGUCUGAGUGAACCAGCAGGACAGUAUGUAUAUGGAGAUUGUACUGUUUGCGCUAAAUCGUAAGCUCUAGUCUUCUUGGAAAAACUAGUGUGCAGAGAGCUAAAGCAUGAAAUUACAGUAUACCAGCUAUUUUACAGCGGAAAAUGUGUGCUGCUUCACUUUCAAUCCCUAUUCUUUUCAUAGGGUUACUGCAAUGGGAAGCAGAACAGCUGCUGUAAAAGCCUAGCAAGUGACAUGAUUCCUGUGAACAGUUGUAAAAAAAAUCUCAGAGCUAUUUAUGAAUGGAAAGCAUUAUGCAAAUAAAAUACAUUAUAAACA